AUCGCAUUAUCAUCACUGAAAUUCUUAAAUCUUACUUAUUCUUCUUCGUUUACGGUAACUGGUCGGAAAUCGCUCUACCGUGCCAAAGGAGGCAGAGCUCCCUCAACCACUCAAUAUUUCUACAUCCUCCUCUCUGUCUCCUUCACCUCAUCCCAUAUUCGACCUUUGUUUUCAUAUAUUCUCCAACAAAAUCCCUAAAUCUAUAUUUUCAGAAAAACCCAAAGUUGAAGAAAAAGUGGAAUUAA